CUACUGGUUCCGUCUUUAUUGGCGGUUAUUUUCCAAGUUUUUUGUAUAAAUUAAUUAAUUUUUUUACGCGAUUCAUUUUCCUGAAUUGAAUCCCUGUCGAAAGAACGUAUUGUGAUUGGUCCAAAGUAGGAUUCGCUUACCUACGGUUACGCAGGAUGAGUCAUCUCUGAAUUACGUGCGUAAAAUUGGCAAAAUCGACGAUGCUACUAUAUUUUAAAGGAUUUCAGUUCAAUUUCCAGGAAUGAAAUAAAGUCAAACUCAUGCGUUGAAUAGUAUUAAAAGUGUGCCGAUGCUUUCUGAGUUCUGAAGUGAUUUGAUCGACUCGAAUUCUGUCAGUUGUGUUUUGAUUCGUCUUCGUUACCUCUCGAAGAAUGAAAAGGUGACUUCAUCGGUGAUGAAAGAGAACGAUGAAAAUUCAAUUGAACUCGUAACCGACUAGACCAGACCAGACCAUAAUUUCAUCAUCAGUACCUACUGUUUCAUUUUGUUUGACAUUCGAUGGCUUUGUGAAGAAUGAAGAUUGAUAUUGGCAGUUGGCACCUUAGAAUACCUACCUAAUGCUGCGAAUGCUGUAAAAUCUCAAUCAAGCUUCACGUAUCGCGGGAUCAGAAAUUUACUAAUAACGACUUUGUGAAGAAUGAAGAUUGAUAUUGGUACCUUGAAAUAAUGCUGCGAUUGCCGUAACAUCUCAAUCAAGCUUCACGUAUAAUGUAGGAUCAGAAAUUUACUAAAGAUUUCUCAUCGUUACAUGAAGACCUGUGAUGCUGCAGAAUUCUACUUGGAUCCUGAAAGAUGUACGAGUAGAAUUUGAUUAUCAUGUUUCAGAAGUUGAGGAGAAUUCACUUAUUACUUGAUGGCUUUGCGAAGAACGAAGAUUGAUAUUGGUACCUUAGAAUAAUGUUGCGGUUACUGUAAAAUUUUAAUUGAGCUUCGAAGUGCUGCGAUUGUAGUUACGUGAUGUUGAAGGAUCGGAUAUUUAUUAACGAUGGCUUUGUGCAGAAUGAAGAUUGAUAUUAUUAGUAUGUACUUCAGAAUGAUGCUGCAAUAUUCCGGUCAAAUACAUAAUAUUAAGCUUCGUGAUGAUGCAGGAUGAGAAAUUUAUCUUGCGGAUCGCUUACGACCGAUGUUUAAAAUGGUGUUCGCCGACGAAUGCUUGCUUAUACGUAUCAAAGCGCUGUUUACGGAGAAACGCUACCAGUAGUCGAUUUCGCCGAACAUUACACUUUCGAAGAACGAGUCGAUCGUACAGACCUGAGAUUUCGCAGCCUGCUUCUUCGCAAGAUGUCACUUCGUAUCUAGCUGCUAGAUUUGCUAUGGUGAUACCGAGCUCCAUUCUUGUCGAGAUUUAUUACGAGCAGUAGUUCAUCGAUUUGCGUCCUGAUGGUUUCCUGGUAGCAUAUAUGCAAAUGGUUCGAAACAUUUGAAAAUUGUUUUACAUAUAUGAAUGAAGCAACGUACUUACCUGAAAUGAUGUGAAAAUAACUUCCAGUUACGAUCGCAGAAAAACCUCUUACUACGUAUUAGCGUACGAUUCGUUUUCUGGAAAUACGAUCGAAUUAACCACCGUUGCUUCCCCCUCCUCUCGCCUAUUAGCUUAUUCGACGCAAGAAUUUUGAACGAUUUUUACGAUAGACUAGACUAGACACACGUGCCUCAACUCUCAAAACUUUCAAUUUUCGAAGUGAACUUGAAAUAUUACGGAAAUAAUUGGAAAUAUUAUCUAUGCGAGCUCAUUAAUAGCAAAUACUCGAUUAUAUUUACCAUGUGCUUACAAGACAUAUUAAGCCACCUAUUAUACGUUGUCAAGUUCCCUUUGUCCCUUCAUCACUCCAUUGAAGUUUCUUUUUCGAGCUACGCGUCAUUUAUGUGAUAUUAAUAUCGAAACCAUAUCGAAACCUUAUUGUUAAUGUAUGUUUAGAAAUAUUAACUUAGAUGUUUUACCUGUUUGCCACCACCCCCCCCCCUUUCGCCUCAUUUUUUGGGGAUGAUGAUUUCGAAUGCACGAAUUUGAACUGCCACUCUCUGAUUUAUUGCGGUAAACGCUCGAUAGCAUUUUAAUUUCUCCCUUCGACCGCCUUAUUUUUUUCAAAUUUGAUUUUGGAUUUGCAAAAAUCGACUCCCACUCUCUGAUAUCGGUACGUAUGCUUGAUAGAAGUUUCAAUUUUGAUUCAACCUCCCCCCCCCCACCCAUCAUGGGGGAUAUGAUUUUGGAUGUACAUACCUACUUACGAACAUGCUUGAUAGAAGUUUCAAUUUUGAUGCAACCUCCCUCCCUUCCUUCCUUCCCCAUGUUUUGGGGAUUUCAUUUUUGAUUUACGAAUUAGAAAUCUCGCUAUCUCUGAUGUUGACGCAUGCUUGAUGCGAUUUUCAAAUUUGAUUCAACCUCUCCCCCCCUCCUCCUCCCACUGUUUUGGAGAUUUGAUUUUGGAUCUACGAAUUUGAGCUCCCACUCUCUGAUGUUGAUAUUUGUACAUGGUUGAUGGAAGUUUCAAUUUUGAUUCAGCCCUCCUCCUCCUCCUCCUCCUCCCAUUCCCUCCCCCCCCCCCCAAUUUUUUUGGGAAGGGUUUGAUUUUGGAUUUACGAAUUUGAAUUCGCGUUCUCUGAUGCUAGUGUACAGAAUUAUGUUUUGAAUUUUGAUAUCGUUAUUGAUUUUUCUUUGAUGGCGUUUUGAUUCGAUCCCCCUUCGCGAUAUUUUUUCAUAAUUGAAUUUGAUACUGCCACACUUUCGAUGCAAUUUCGUUUCUCUUCCCCUACUCCAUUGUUUUCAGAAUUUGAUUUUUGAUUUCUGAUACGUCAGAUUAAUUCUUUGGUAGAGUUCCCGCCCUCCGCCCUGUUCUUUUUCAUGAUUUGUUCUGAUAUUGUUAGGUAUCCUAUUUAGGGAAUUUUGAAUCCUCCCCCCCCCUCUUUAUUUUUUUGGAAUCUGAUACCUACUGAAUCGGUGAAUUUGAACUCCCAUUCUCUCGUUUCAUUCGUGAUAAAUAAUUCGAUUCGCGUAAUAAUUGAGUCUUCGUUGUUUUUUUUGUUCAAUUUAAAAAAAAAAAAUUUCGCGAUUCGAUUGUACGUAUUAUUUGCUCGCGAAAAUCAGCGUUCGUUGUUCGAUUUUUGAUUUUACGAUCGAGAUUCGGGGUUUCGGAGGUGUUAUUUAUGUACAAAACCGGUCGCAGAUCACAAUAAUUUUCUCCAGGGGUGUGAUGUUUGCCUGUAGCGUUGGUGGAGAGUGUAUUUUUGCGAGCAGUUGAACGUUUUCGAGUGGUGUGAGUGUUCGAUGUUUUCGAGUGGUGCUAGUGGUGCGAGUGUGUAGGGAAUGCGGUUGUGGCUGGUCUUGUUAAGUUACUGUCCGUCCUUGCCUGUUAGCGCAUCAACCCACAACCGUACUUUUUCCACUGUUUCACGUCAACUUGGCGACGUGAUCCCUUGAAAAUUUACUGUUUUCUGAUAGCAUGGCGCCUACCUUAGCCAUUUACGUAGUUCUGCAUUCGCGAAUCCACGUACGUACUCGCGCGGCGUAUCGUGGAGUUCACUGUAUUCGGCCGGUACGGAGCUGAUCAGCUGGAUUUCAUGCAGCAUCUACACGAAGAAACGCAUCCACGGUUCACGGGCUCUCGCUCGCAGGUUCCGUCUCGAUGGUCAUCAAAGCCGUAUGGAGCAGGGGGAGCGUCAUUCGGCGACUUGUCCGCUACCGUGCUUCGGCACAGCGGCCUGCUCAAUGGUGACGUAGACGUCUGGCUCACUCCUGCGACGUUCAGUGGGGUCGUCAUCAUUACGGUGGCGGCUUCGACUGUAUAUCCAAGUCACAAUAAGGGGUUGUCGUAAGAGGUUACGACUCAUACGGUGGAAACGUUUGCGUUCCAUCUAGUGGUGCGAGCCGUGGCCUAUGACCAGCUCAAUCUGCGAACCUUACUUCCGGGCUGAUGAAGAUGUGAGCGGGGAUGGUUAAUGUCAGCCUAUCCUGCGUAACGAUAUUGCCAUUUGCCCGCCGUCUACGAUCAGUCCUGCCUUCAUCUGGAUCCCCAGAGAUUCGUCUCUCCGAUCCAACCCCACGCAGUAAGUGGUGCACUGUAGGUUUCGCAUCACUUGCUCGCGUGAGAGUGAGUGCUUUUUGAGAGAGAAAAUGUCAAAGGCUGACCUGGUUUUGUUGCUUCGGUCAACUUGCCAGGCAGGUGAGCGUGUGUGUGGAAAGGUGUAUGGUGAUCUGGACUGCGUAUAGGAGGUCUGAUUGUGAUUGAAUUUUUGCUUGAAAUUUCGAUGGAAAAUCUCUUUAAUUCGGACGAUGAUUGGUUGAAAAUUUUCGGUUGAACUUUGAUAUUGGGAAAAUUGUCGAAGUUGUGGAGUAUUUGAUCGCGUUGAAAUGAAAAGUGUAAUCGAACGUGUUAUUUUUUUGAAAAAACAGAAGGUGAUGGGUUGAUAGUUGUUUUAAAAUACGAGUUGCAAAUUGCAAUACCUAUUCGAGAAUUUCGUCGCAUUGAUGUAUUUAAGUAUGUGAAAAAUCAAUUUUCGUACGUGCUACUCGAGUGCAAAAAUAUUGAAAGAAUACAGAUUAUAAACCCACUCUCUCCCUCCCUUAAGUAUACUUGUUGAAACUUUCAUGUUUUUUUUUUUUUAAAGAGUAAGUUUUGUUAUCUUUGUUAUUUUUGUUGUUUUGUUACCUAUGAUUGUUUAUUCGGCGGUCUAUGUUGCGUCUUGUAUUGUAUUGUAUUGCAUUCUAUUGUAUUAUUAUUAGUCAAGUGCAAUUUAAAUGUAAAGAUCGAUCAAGGUUUUUCACGUCGAGCGGCCGGCGUGUUUUUUUUUUAGCCCAGAUCGAUCUAUUGUAAUGCCAACGUGAAAAUAUUGUCGUCGG